AUUUAAAAUGUUAAAUACUAAUUCAAUAAUUAGUUAGAUUAAUUAAUUAAAAUACAUUAUUAUGUGUAUAAUUGAUAUUACUUAGAAAAUCGUAUUCGAAAUAUAUUAUACUUUAGAGAUAUACAUUCAUCACUUACCCUUCCUAUCUAAAUGCUAAUUAAAAUUCUAUUGAAACUAAUCCUCCACUUCCCUCUCACACUCUACCACCUCCAUCCUUAUCUUCCAAACUUGCAUCUCACCUUCCUCCACUACUCCUUCAUAUUAGUUCCCCACCUCCCUCCAAUUUCUCUACAAAAACCAACUCCCACACUCCACCUCCCAUGUUUUCCGUACAAAAAUAAAUUCCCCCACCCCCCCUAUUAUUUUCGGCAGAGAGAGAGAGAGUUCACCUCCCCAUUUCCCAUUUCAUUGGCCGAGAGAGGGAGAUAGAGAAUAUCAUCAUCCAAUACCUUCUUCUUCUCUUGUUUUCUUUUCUUUUCUUUUGUUGAGAGAGUAUUGGAAAAGAAGCAGCAAAAGGAAGGAAAGAAAGGAGAAAAAGAAGAAAGAAGAAGAAGAUCGUCGGUUGCUUCCGCCGAUCACCUCCAUUUUUUUUUUUAAUCCUAGCUAGAACUCCACGAUCUAGGUAAUCAGGAGAUCGAAGAAUAGAAUCCCCUACCAGAUGAUUAGUACCAGGGUGAGGACCUCCCAGCUGAGGAAGGGGAGUUUGUCGAGCCUUGGAUGCCCUACCCUUAGAAGCUCUGUAAUUUGGAAUAAUGUUAUUUAAAUUUCCAAAAGUUUUAUCACAUUUGUCAAACCCUGUUUUAUUUUUGUUGAGUUGUAAGACAAUUAAGUAGUUUUGAAUUUAGUAUUUG